CCGUGUAUUCGUUUCGGUACGCUCUUCAUUUGUCGCCGAAAAAAAUAGUUGCUGAUGAUACAAGUGAAGACGGAUCAAUCACCUUACCCGUACACCUCGCCAUUCGUUGAAAUUACUCUAAGCAGGGACUUAAGGAUGUUUUAGCUGAGUGGCGAUCAUGGGAGCUGUAACAUUUUCUCUGUUGCAGCCGAAGUAGCAAGGCUCUUUGCUCCAUACUACAACAACAACAACAACAACAACAACAACAACAACAACAACAACAACAGCGGCGGCGCCAAGUCAUCCGAAGAAGCUGCACACACACUUUCUGUUGUUUGGCUGACAACAAGGCUGAUAAAGUUCCAAGCAUUCAGCUUAAAUCAGACCUUCUUGCUUCAGGACUUGGAGAACAAAGGGUGAUCUUUUCAGGAAAUGACAACGAUCCCAUGGAUGUAACAAAUAAACUGACGGAGGUGUUUCCAAAGCUGCAGGAAGGGGGAGGCUUUGACUUUCUAAAAAAAUUGCAGGAUCUACUCGCAGUCGAAAUCUUGGACUUCUUCAAUGUCCCAGCACAGGAUACACCCUUGCCUAUCUAAAAGAUCCAUCUACAACAAUUGGACAGGCUACAAUUUACAUACGCCCACUUCAACAGGACCUACCCAUUGAUUCAGUAUGGAAAUUUACACUGUCACCAUUUGAUACAUAGUUAAAAUAAAUUGCACUGUGGAGUUUUAAUCAAUACUUAACAGAUUUGUUGUUCUUAGGAAAGCUCGGGACAUGCCUCUGAUCCAGCCAUCUCAUGUGUCACUUGUCAGAAGGAGGUUCCCUUCUCUGAAAUGAAACUGCACCGAGCUAACUGUGAUGGCUUUGCACUUGUUAAAGAUAUAUAAGAAUUACAUAUUCAUUUUUCAAUAAGAAAUGUAUUUUUAGUUUUUGUGCACACAGAUGAGAGGAAAUGACUAUAAAAUUUUGUGAACUUCAAGGACCCCCAUGCAGGAAACACAUAGAGAAGGAGAGGGAGACCGUGGUGAGGAAAAUGAUAGAGAGCCACCCACUGACAGGGACAGCGUUCCAGUGAGGCCUGAAACAUCUGUAGAGAGUGAAGUAGAACCAGUAGUGAUUGAAAACUGGAAGAUUAUUAAAGAACCAACUCUGGCUGCCCAAGUUUUCAAAGAUAAUCUACUAAGUGAACAUGCAACCGGGAAGCCUCUUAAACUGAAAAUGGAUGUAAGGGAGAGUGAGGAGGACAGGGAACGGGCACUUCUCUCAUUCUAUAAACAGCAACAGGAAUGGGCAUGUCCACUUCAUUGUACCCUUAGUAGAAUAGAGUUCACAAUAUAAAUAUAUAUGUUACAUUAAUAUCAAUUGUAUGUCUUAUAUGGAAUGGUAUUAGUGGUUUACUGGUCCCAUCAGGUAAUUUGGCUGAUAUUAAUCAUUAUAUGAUAAUCUGCAUUGACUGUUCAUGCUGUCUGCAUAACAGUUAAUGUGUUUGUCCUUCCUUCCUAAAACUUGUCAAGCACCUAUAGCCUUCUUACAGCUUGUUUCCAGUGUGUUAUUAACA